rnacentral:lncRNA from 1 species
CGAGGCAAGUCAACUGUACAGGGUAGUGUUCGCUCUUAACCCUGACAUUGAGAGUCAGGGUGAAGCAGAUGAAAGGUGAGUGAAGAUGAGACUUCACAGCUCUUAUCCCUGGCCAGGGAGAGCUUCAGACAAAGGAGCGUGGGUCCAGAAUGGAGGGACCCUUCUACGCUCAAGACUCUGACUCGACUGUGCAACAGCACAAGAUCUUGGGUUAAU